UCCUUUUUGUCACGCUUUAGACUGAUGUACGGUCACAUUGGAUUUGAAAACGACAUCCUUUCUUCCAUAGAUCCACGCUACCUGAAAGAAGGCCGCCUUCUGAAUCCAACGAUACCAGUUAUGUGCACAUCGGACCUACGCUUCAAAAGAUACGGACAGAUCCACGCUACCUGAAAGAAGGCCGCCUUCUGAAUCCAACGAUACCAGUUAUGUGCACAUCGGACCUACGCUUCAAAAGAUACGGACAGAUCCACGCUACCUGAAAGAAGGCCGCCUUCUGAAUCCAACGAUACCAGUUAUGUGCACAUCGGACCUACGCUUCAAAAGAUACGGACAGAUCCACGCUACCUGAAAGAAGGCCGCCUUCUGAAUCCAACGAUACCAGUUAUGUGCACAUCGGACCUACGCUUCAAAAGAUACGGACAGAUCCACGCUACCUGAAAGAAGGCCGCCUUCUGAAUCCAACGAUACCAGUUAUGUGCACAUCGGACCUACGCUUCAAAAGAUACGGACAGGUA